GGAGGUAUAGUUCAACUGGUAGAGCAUUUGCUUAGCAAGUGUGAGGUUCUGGGCUCAAACCCAGGUACUGCCA
rnacentral:tRNA from 1 species